rnacentral:rRNA from 1 species
UACGGGGGGGGCAAGCGUUGUUCGGAAUUACUGGGCGUAAAGGGCGCGUAGGUGGCUAACUAAGUCAGACGUGAAAUCCCUCGGCUUAACCGGGGAACUGCGUCUGAUACUGGAUGGCUUGAGUUUGGGAGAGGGACGCGGAAUUCCAGGUGUAGCGGUGAAAUGCGUAGAUAUCUGGAGGAACACCGGUGGCGAAGGCGGCGUCCUGGACCAAUACUGACACUGAAACGCGAAAGCCAGGGGAGCAAACGGG